rnacentral:rRNA from 1 species
UUGAACGCUGGCGGAAUGCUUUACACAUGCAAGUCGAGCGGCAGCGCGGGGGCAACCCUGGCGGCGAGCGGCGAACGGGUGAGUAACAUAUUGGAACGUACCCAGUAGUGGGGGAUAACUAUCCGAAAGGAUAGCUAAUACCGCAUACGCCCUGAGGGGGAAAGUGGGGGAUCGCAAGACCUCACGUUAUUGGAGCGGCCGAUAUCGGAUUAGCUAGUUGGUGGGGUAAAGGCUCACCAAGGCGACGAUCCGUAGCGGGUCUGGGAGGACGGCCCGCCACACUGGAACUGAGACACGGUCCAGACUCCUACGGGAGGCAGCAGUGGGGAAUUUUGGACAAUGGGGGCAACCCUGAUCCAGCCAUUCCGCGUGAGUGAAGAAGGCCUUCGGGUUGUAAAGCUCUUUCAGCCGGAAAGAAAUCGCGCAGGCUAAUACUCUGCGUGGAUGACGGUACCGGAAGAAGAAGCACCGGCUAACUACGU